GAGAAUAUUGUUUAAUGGUAAAACAGUUGCCUUUUAAGCAUCCCAUGUUUGGUUCGAUUCCAACUAUUCUUA
rnacentral:ncRNA from 15 species